rnacentral:rRNA from 1 species
UCCAGACUCCUACGGGAGGCAGCAGUAGGGAAUCUUUCACAAUGGGCGAAAGCCUGAUGGAGCAACGCCGCGUGCAGGAUGAAGGCCUUCGGGUUGUAAACUGCUUUUAUAAGCGAGAAAUAUGAUGGUAACUUAUGAAUAAGGAUCGGCUAACUACGUGCCAGCAGCCGCGGUCAUACGUAGGGAGCAAGCGUUAUCCGGAUUUAUUGGGUGUAAAGGGUGCGUAGACGGGAAGGCAAGUUGGUUGUGAAAUCCCUCGGCUUAACUGAGGAACUGCAACCAAAACUAUCUUUCUUGAGUGCUGGAGAGGAAAGUGGAAUUCCUAGUGUAGCGGUGAAAUGCGUAGAUAUUAGGAGGAACACCAGUGGCGAAGGCGACUUUCUGGACAGUAACUGACGUUGAGGCACGAAAGUGUGGGGAGCAAACAGGAUUAGAUACCCCGGUA